UUUAAAUUUACUUAUCCGUAGGUACGUAAUUCAAAAACAGAUAUAAUAAACUGUAUUAAUAAAGCUUACACUUAAUUUAUUACGUGGUAAAUAUCGUGGUUGCAAGUAUCGAAGUCCAGUUUUACUAUUAUAUGUAAUAGUCAUAAUUUCAAGUCGAUUGUACUGUAUCACAUGAAAUGGUUACAUACUUAAACUGACAAUGCCUUUCUGAUCGGUGAUUGUGAAUAUCCAGUAGAUAGAAUAGUGUGUAUAAGUCCGAGUGUACAAUGAACCGGUAUCUUGUGCUGCAUCAGCUCGGUGACGGUACAUACGGGUCAGUUGUGCUUGCGCAACGCAGAGAUACUGGAGAAAAGGUGGCUAUCAAACGCAUGAAACGAAAGUAUUACUCUUGGGACGAAGCUAUGAACCUUCGCGAGGUUAAAUCUUUAAAGAAACUGAAUCAUGCCAAUAUUGUGAAACUGCGCGAGGUCAUCAGAGAGAAUGAUACCCUGUACUUCGUAUUCGAGUAUAUGCGUGGUAAUUUGUACCAGCUUAUUCGAGAUUCCGAUCGACCGUUGCCAGAACCGGCGCUACGCAACAUCACAUUCCAAGUACUACAGGGGCUUGCUCACAUGCAUCGCCAUGGCUUCUUUCACCGCGACCUCAAACCAGAGAAUUUACUUUGCGCCGGUCCUGAGCUCGUUAAAAUAGCCGAUCUUGGACUGGCAAGAGAGACUCGUUCUCGUCCACCUUACACUGAAUAUGUGUCUACCCGCUGGUACCGGGCGCCGGAGGUACUGCUCCGCGACCCCCACUACGGCGCGCCUAUAGAUCUCUGGGCACUGGGGUGUAUUAUUGCCGAGUUGUAUACGAGCCGCCCGUUGUUGCCUGGGAAUUCGGAAAUUGACCAACUACAUAAAAUGUGCGCAGUACUAGGAACACCCAACUGGCCCGAAGGUCAUGCCCUGGCUGCAUCGCUGCGCAUACGGUUACCAGCAAGUACGGGCAUUCCGCUAGCACGCGCCGUGCCCCGUGCUUCCGCUGCAGCACUAGCGCUACUCGCUGCACUUCUGCGCUUCCCACCCGGAGAACGUCCAACCGCCACUCAGGCACUCAGAUAUCCUUAUUUUGCAGUAGGCACUGCCUUAGUACUGGGACCUCCGGCUACACAACCUAGAAGGAACAAUCAUUAUGAAGAUGAGAAAAUAGCCCCGUCAGCGGUCCUCGAGAUGGAUCCAUCCCGCAAAACGGGUCUAACUACACGAGCAUAUGUUGCGACAACAUACUAUGAUCAAUUUGCGCAUGUGUUAGGAGGAAAAUUGGUGAAAAGUGGCGGACGUGAUGCGGCAGGUAGUGGAGCUGGAGCUAACAUGGAAACGGAGCGAGCAGCAUGUGCCUAUUUUGGAGCCACACGGUAUGUAACUGGCGCUCGGGUCGAUACCUCCUUGUUCCGCAGCCUACCAUUACAGUCGCUAAAAGAGGCUGCGGCAUUGGGAAGCAAUCCAUCACGAGUGGACUGGGCCGCCAAGUACUUGCGAUGACACCUCCCCGCUUUCUUCAACACCAGAGUCCCCAAUCACAUUCAAUGAGUGAUGUCAGAAACGGGGAUCAACGUUCCAACGAGGGCAAGAUUCAGAAACAGGCCACGCUUUAUCUUACUCCAGGACGUCAAAAAUGUAUUGGAUCUUGUUGUU